AUUGAACGCUGGCGGCAUGCCUUACACAUGCAAGUCGAACGGCAGCACGGGAGCAAUCCUGGUGGCGAGUGGCGAACGGGUGAGUAAUAUAUCGGAACGUGCCCAGUCGUGGGGAUAACGCAGCGAAAGCUGUGCUAAUACCGCAUACGAUCUAUGGAUGAAAGCGGGGGAUCGCAAGACCUCGCGCGAUUGGAGCGGCCGAUAUCAGAUUAGCUAGUUGGUGGGGUAAAGGCCCACCAAGGCGACGAUCUGUAGCUGGUCUGAGAGGACGACCAGCCACACUGGAACUGAGACACGGUCCAGACUCCUACGGGAGGCAGCAGUGGGGGAAUUUUGGACAAUGGGCGAAAGCCUGAUCCAGCAAUGCCGCGUGAGUGAUGAAGGCCUUAGGGUUGUAAAGCUCUUUUACCCGAGAUGAUAAUGACAGUAUCGGGAGAAUAAGCUCGGCUAACUCCGUGCCAGCAGCCG
rnacentral:rRNA from 1 species